rnacentral:rRNA from 1 species
AGUGAACGCUGGCGGUAGGCCUAACACAUGCAAGUCGAACGGCAGCACAGUAAGAGCUUGCUCUUACGGGUGGCGAGUGGCGGACGGGUGAGGAAUACAUCGGAAUCUACUUUUUCGUGGGGGAUAACGUAGGGAAACUUACGCUAAUACCGCAUACGACCUACGGGUGAAAGCAGGGGAUCUUCGGACCUUGCGCGAUUGAAUGAGCCGAUGUCGGAUUAGCUAGUUGGCGGGGUAAAGGCCCACCAAGGCGACGAUCCGUAGCUGGUCUGAGAGGAUGAUCAGCCACACUGGAACUGAGACACGGUCCAGACUCCUACGGGAGGCAGCAGUGGGGAAUAUUGGACAAUGGGCGCAAGGCUGAUCCAGCCAUACCGCGUGGGUGAAGAAGGCCUUCGGGUUGUAAAGCCCUUUUGUUGGGAAAGAAAAGCAGCAGGUUAAGACCCCGCUGUUCUGACGGUACCCAAAGAAUAAGCACCGGCUAACUUC